CUGAAAAGACACCCAGCCGCCGUAGGCGGCCCCCCAUAGAACCACUGCUCACUCCUCCUUAGUUGUAAUCACUAAUUCUUAAACCCUAGGGUUUUAGUCUGCGUGUUCCAAAGUCCAGUUCUCCAUCUAGGGUUUUGAUUCCAUUCGGCUGAACAGUAAGGAGAGCUUCGGAAUUCCAUUCGGCUGCUCAGGAAUCCCAACUUUUCAUCGUCAAAGUUAAUUUGUGGCGGUUGCUUUGAAUUAUUCAGCAUAUCAUCCUUAAGGAAUGCUGUUAGCAGACGGGCUCACAAGGAACGAGCUCAACCGGAAUCGAAGAAAAAAUUUGGGCUGCUUGAAAAGCACAAGGACUAUGUUGAGCGUGCGAAAGCGUAUCAUAAGAAGGAGGAGACUUUACGGGUAAAUUUAUGAUGGUUAUGUUGCUUGUCUCCUUGGAUUUCAUCAUCUACUAAUAGCCUGGUAGUUUAACUUCCGGAUAUGGUAUACGUCUCUCAUCUGUCUUUUCACCCAACAAAUGAGAAGGCCUUCCUCAGAAACCCAGAUGAGUUCAACUUCAAGAUGACCAAGACACGAACUGUUGAUGGAGUCCAUAAAUUAGAGUAACUUCUAUAUCGUUUUCCUUUUUCACACUUGCUACUCAAAUGGUAUAGCUCACUACAGGAGUCGGGCAAACAAGUAAACUCCAGAAGAGCUCCUGCUUAUGAAGACCCAAGAUAUUGGAUACAUAUUUCAGAAAGUGCAGAGUGAGAAAAAGGUUAUAAAUACAUAUAUCAUGAAGCUAUGGGCUACCAAUGGGUUUUUUGAAAUUAACAUGUUGGUUAUAAUUAUGUCGUUAAUUAAUUUAGAAAACUGAAAAGUUAACUGCGACGCUGCACUCUUUUGAUAAUUGGCCUUCAAAUUGAUACGUUUACUUUGCUGAAGACAGGUUUGAGCUUCCUUCAAAUCUUCUGUCCUUGGAGAAUUUUAAUUCUGAAUUAGUGGAUUUUUUUUAUUUUUUUCGUUGCUGUUAUUUGUAAUCAGACUUGGAUCUGGGGAAAGACCAUUUUCACCAUUUUUUCAAUUCUUUGUUAUCCCUUAUUAUCCCCAGAGGUUGCAUGUUUCCAUUGUUCUAAUUGAUUUUGUUAUGUAUAUUUUCUUAUAUUCAUUGAAUUUGUUUUGUCAUCAGUAGGCACAAGUAUCUAGAGUGAUUUGUUAACCCCUUUUUCCAAGCAAACACACAACACACAACACAAACACGAACAUAUAUCUGGUGUACAUGAACCCCAACGUUCAUAUGCACGCAUACACUACACACAUUGAAAAGGAACGGUAACAAAUGGGAAGAUGAUGUAUACAUAAAACUUGUGUGUUUCUCCUGAUUCUGUUUUGGACUUAUAUGAAAUGCUUUUCAUCAUUUUUACUUGAGUAUAUUUACAAAACAAAUUUAUGGCCCCGAAAAAGGGGACAUAGAAAUAAUGUGAUACAAGUGACUCUAAGUGUGCUAUUAGAAAUAAUGUGAUACAAGUAAUUCUGAUUCUGUUGAAAGUAGAUCCUCGUGGCUUCUACUGGGGACACUAGGCUAAUUUCUUAGUGUUGUUAAUUGUUUCUUGGGAAGACAUUAUUAUUCAAUUCUUCACAUAGGGGUAUGAUCUAUAAUGUUAUUAAAUUCAUGUGAGACCACUCCGUGUGAAAGAGUUGGGAAGAAAAGUAGUUUCUUAACUUCUUGUCAUUUAUGUUCCCGUUUGCCAAAU